GCCUCCCUCCGCGCCAUCAGCCUCCUACGGGAGGCAGCAGUGGGGAAGUUUUGCGCAAUGGGGGAAACCCUGACGCAGCAACGCCGCGUGGAGGAUGAAGCCCUUGGGGUGUAAACGUCCUUUCGAUGGGGAAGAGUUAUGACGGUACCCAUAGAAGAAGCCCGGCUAACUUCGUGCCAGCAGCCGCGGUAAUAC
rnacentral:rRNA from 1 species